GACGAACGCUGGCGGCGUGCCUAACACAUGCAAGUCGAGCGAGUGAAUCUCCUUCGGGAGUGAAGCUAGCGGCGGACGGGUGAGUAACACGUGGGCAACCUGCCUCAUAGAGGGGAAUAGCCUUUCGAAAGGAAGAUUAAUACCGCAUAAGAUUGUAGCUUCGCAUGAAGUAGCAAUUAAAGGAGCAAUCCGCUAUGAGAUGGGCCCGCGGCGCAUUAGCUAGUUGGUGAGGUAACGGCUCACCAAGGCGACGAUGCGUAGCCGACCUGGGGGGGUGAUCGGCCAAAUUGGGACUGAGACACGGCCCAGACUCCUACGGGAGGCAGCAGUGGGGAAUAUUGCAGAAUGGGGGAAACCCUGAUGCAGCAACGCCGCGUGAGUGAUGACGGCCUUCGGGUUGUAAAGCUCUGUCUUCAGGGACGAUAAUGACGGUACCUGAGGAGGAAGCCACGGCUAACUACGUGCCAGCCGCCGCCGUAA
rnacentral:rRNA from 1 species